rnacentral:lncRNA from 1 species
UGAUCCUUAGCACCACAUAAGAAUAAAAUAAAGGUAUUGUGUUCACAUACAACUAAAAAAAUACACAUUAAAAAUAAUGGGUAACAUAUACAUAAGUUCUGAAAUCACCUGGACUCCUUCCUUGGGUUAAAGGCCAUCCUACAUGAGUCAUUCAUCUUCAGUUUCCACCUGCAUAUCCUGUCUUCAAUGCUAUUAUGAACAAUUAUUUAUAUUAGAGAACUACUUGAUACACCUCAAAGUUUCUUCGUAUCAGAAUUUUGUCAAAUUCAUCCCAGACCAAGUUAUGUCCAGAGCUAAUCUUUUUUUUAUCAUUCUCCUUUUAUUUAUUACUAGUUGAAAGAGAAGGUAACAUUCCCUUACAUUGGGAGUUCCAAUAUUAUGCCCAACUAGUGGUUCUCAGUUCUUUAAAUAUAAGCCUUUCCAUUUACUUUAUGUUUUACACUGAUUGACUGCAACACAAACAAUAGCAUAUUCUUUAUUUUAUAUGAUGAAUUGUUGUCCUCCAUAGGAUGAUAUGCCAGGGUGCCACAGGCAAACUUUGCUUCCCAUGUAUUCACGCUGUCUUCUGCUUAUAUAUUCUUUAGCAACCAUCACAUAGUGUUUAUCUUCCUGGCUCUAACACUAAGCAUCUCUGGCUACCAUCAAUCUUUCUAGACCCUAAAACUGAUAGAGUGUUGACUGAUCUUCUCUAGCCAUUCCAGACUAAGAACUCCAACAUUCUUUAACUCCAGACUGAGCUCGUAUCAUUAUCCCUAUUAUUCUGAUUUCUGUGCCUUCCAAUAUAAUGAUUAAUUCAGCCAAUUAUAUUCACUAAAACAUGAAAGAUUCCUGAGCAACAAUAAUAUCACUCCCAGAUAACAUCAGACUUUGAUUUUAUAAGCAUUUAUGUGGAGAUACAAUAACUAUAGUUUGUUUUCUCAAAUUUAAGAUGUUAUUCCAGAAUGGGAAAUUAAAAUCUCAAAGAAAAAAGGGGUUAGGGAGAGAGAAAAAGAAAGAAAAAUGAAAGAAAGAAAAAAGAAAGGAAGGAUGGAAGGAAGAGAGAGAGA